GAAAAACGAAAAUUAUGUUUGAAACUAUUUUGUAAAAUUUUUUAUAUAUUUUUUAAGUAUUUAUUUAUAUAUUUAUUAGAAUCAUAAAUUUCACAUUCCAAAAACCCUAUCUCACCCCUUAAAGGUAUAAUUGUAUUUUACCCUUCAUUAAAAAUGAGGGUAAAAGUGGUUAGUGUAAACAUGAAAAGUGGUACUAUAAAUAUGGUAUUUGUGACAAUUUCCUUUAAAUAAAUAACAUUUGGGGAACAUUUGCAUCUUCUAAGUGUUUCUAUAAAUGUAUAUUUUUAAAAUAAUUGACUGGAUGUUAAAGAGCAUAACACUUGUAUAAAAGCUCUACACGGCAGAAACAAUCUGAAGAAGUAGAAUCAAACUAAGCAGAAUAAAAGCUUUUCAGUCUGAACCGAGUUCGACCCGUAAGAAAGAAGAAGAUAAUGGGCUCUGAACCUCACUCUCAGGUUUUAGUGGAAGAGACAUCAAGUGUAAGAAUCUUGACACUAAACAGACCAAAGCAUCUGAAUGCUUUGUCAUUGAACAUGAUCACUCGGUUGCUGCAACUGUUCCUUGCGUAUGAGGAGGACCCUAGUGUCAAACUUGUCAUCCUAAAGGGUCAGGGAAGAGCGUUUUGUGCCGGUGGUGAUGUUCCUGCUAUUGUUCGUGACAUCAGACUAGGCAAAUGGAGACGCAGUGCUGAUUUCAUGUCACUUGGAUAUAAUCUCCACUACGUUAUGGCCACUUAUUGUAAAGCUCAGGUUUCAAUUUUGAAUGGUAUUGUCAUGGGAGUUGGUGUCUGCGUCCAUGGUCGAUUUCGAAUUGCAACAGAGAACACGGUUUUUGCCAUGCCUGAGACAUCUCUAGGGAUAUUUCCAGAUGUAGGCGCCUCCUACUUCUUGUCAAGGCUCCCUGGAUUUUUUGGAGAGUAUGUUGGCCUCACUGGAGCUAGGUUAGAUGGCGCUGAAAUGCUUGCUUGUGGUCUUGCAACUCAUUUUGUGCCUUCAACGAGGUUAACGGCCUUAGAAGCAGAUCUUUGCAGAGUUGGUUCAAGUGAUCCAGUUACCUAUGCCUCAACAAUUCUCGAUGCAUACACUCAACAUCCACAUCCGAAACAAAAGAGUGCUUGCCACAGGUUAGAUGUUAUUGAUAAGUGCUUCUCGAGAAGAACAGUCGAAGAAAUUAUAUCUGCACUUGAGAGAGAGGCAACUCAUAAACCAGAUGAUUGGAUCUCAGCUACCAUUGGCGCAUUGAAGAAAGCUUCACCAGCAAGCCUUAAAAUCUCUCUUAGAUCGAUAAGAGAAGGACGAUUGCAAGGGUUGGGGCAGUGUCUUAUCCGUGAGAAUAGAAUGGUGGCACAUAUGAUGAAGGGAGAUAUAAGCAAAGAUUUUGUGGAGGGGUGUAGAGCCAUAUUGAUAGACAAAGAUAGGAACCCAAAGUGGGAUCCAAGGAGACUGGAGGAUAUGAAAGAUAACAUGGUAGAUAAGUACUUCAAGAGAGUGGAAGAAGAGGAUGGAUGGGAGGAUCUUAAGCUUCCACCAAGGAAACACUUGCCUGCUUCAGCGAUCGCAAAGCUGUAAAGUUGACAAGGUGAUGGAGCUCAUCCACCUUCACGUAUUUAAACCAAUAAUAAAAGAAGGGCUGGAAGUGACAAGAGCAGUCAUCCCUUUAAAUUCAAUCUUCUCUGUUGUGUUAUAGCGCCAUUGGUAUAUUUCUCACCUCCUUCCUGUUUGAUGCAACCGUCUCCGAACUCCGAAGGGUAGAAGAGGUGGAGCCCUAAGAGCCGAUGCGGCAACGGAUGAAGGAAGAGACGACAGAGAAGAAGUGCAGUGAGUCAGGGAGGCGAGGUCAUGGGGAAGAAGAGGUGCGAGGAGUGGGAGCUUCGAAGAUUUCUACGGUGGUUUUGUUCGGUGUUGUCGUUUUUGGGUGGUAUCUUUGAUCGAUUGCAUGAUGGACAUCAGCUUAUGUGAGAUUGAAGUCUUUCUUAUGGCUAAAGUUGAUUGUAUUUGGAGUUCUUAUCUUUGUACUGAAUGUUUGUAUGAUUUAAAGCUUGAAACUGUUACACUUUGUUGAUGAGCUCAAAAGUUUCAAGGUCUCGAAGACUUUAAGAGUUCAAUCCACUACUUAUGUGAGAUUGGAGUCUAAAUCCAGUGGUCUUAGAGUUCAUAUCAUGAGUUGCAAAGAUGUGUUCUUGUGAUCUCAAGGCCAAAGGAAAACUCUUUGACUGUCUUAUAUAUUGUGUACUGUGUUUAUAAAGCUGAAACUUUUAGGC